rnacentral:rRNA from 1 species
GUGCCAGCAGCCGCGGUAAUACGGAGGGGGCUAGCGUUGUUCGGAUUUACUGGGCGUAAAGCGCACGUAGGCGGAUUUUUAAGUCAGGGGUGAAAGGCCUGGGCUCAACCCGGGAACUGCCUUUGAUACUGAGAGUCUUGAAUCCGGGAGAGGUAAGAGGAAUUCCAAGUGUAGAGGUGAAAUUCGUAGAUAUUUGGAAGAACACCAGUGGCGAAGGCGGCUUACUGGACCGGUAUUGACGCUGAUGUGCGAAAGCGUGGGGAGCGAACAGGAUUAGAUACCCUGGUAGUCCACGCUGUAAACGAUGGAUACUAGCUGUUGGAUCCGCAUUGGCGGAUUCAGUGGCUAAGCGAAAGUGAUAAGUAUCCCACCUGGGGAGUACGGCCGCAAGACUGAAACUCAAAGGAAUUGACGG